rnacentral:misc_RNA from 1 species
ACCCUGUUAGGACAACAUUGUUGAGGUGCUUUUGGAAGGAAAUUGCCUUCACUGCUUCCCUUGCAAUUGUGCGGCUUUGUGUCAUGUAUGUUGGGCCUAUUCUCAUCCAAAGUUUUGUGGAUUUUACAGCUGGAAAAAGAAGCUCUCCCUAUGAAGGAUACUACCUUGUCCUGACUCUCCUUGCUGCGAAAUUUGUUGAGGUUUUAACUCUUCACCAUUUUAACUUCAACUCCCAGAAACUUGGAAUGCUUAUACGGUCUACCCUCAUCACCUCUCUGUACAAGAAGGGCCUGAGAUUAUCCUGUUCUGCCCGUCAAGCUCAUGGGGUUGGACAGAUUGUGAAUUACAUGGCUGUUGAUGCCCAACAACUCUCUGAUAUGAUGAUACAGCUACACUCUGUAUGGCUGAUGCCAUUGCAAGUUGGUGUUGCUUUAGUGCUCUUGUACAAUGCACUUGGGGUUUCUGUGGUCGCGGCAUUAAUAGGAAUUAUUGGCGUUAUUGUGUUCUCGGUGUUUGGCACUCGAAGAAACAAUAGAUUCCAAUUCAAUUUGAUGAUGAAUCGUGAUUCCAGAAUGAAAGCAACAAAUGAGAUGCUUAAUUACAUGCGUGUGAUAAAGUUCCAGGCAUGGGAAGAACACUUCAACAAAAGAAUCCAAAAUUUCAGAGAAUCAGAAUUUGGAUGGCUUACCAAGUUUAUGUACUCAAUUUCUGGAAACAUUAUUGUGAUGUGGUGCACUCCUUUACUGAUAUCAACCGUCACAUUUGGUGUUGCUCUUCUGUUGGGAGUGCCACUUGACGCAGGGACAGUAUUCACAACAACAUCUAUCUUUAAAAUCUU